CCUACGGGAGGCUGCAGUGGGGAAUAUUGGACAAUGGGCGAAAGCCUGAUCCAGCCAUGCCGCGUGUGUGAAGAAGGCCUUCGGGUUGUAAAGCACUUUCAGUGGGGAAGAAAGCCUUGGGGCUAAUACCCUCGAGGAAGGACAUCACCCACAGAAGAAGCACCGGCUAACCCCGUGCCAGCAGCCGCGGUAAUACGGAGGAUGCGAGCGUUAAUCGGAAUUACUGGGCGUAAAGCGCGCGUAGGCGGUCUGAUAAGCCGGUUGUGAAAGCCCCGGGCUCAACCUGGGAACGGCAUCCGGAACUGUCAGGCUAGAGUGCAGGAGAGGAAGGUAGAAUUCCCGGUGUAGCGGUGAAAUGCGGAGAGAUCGGGAGGAAUACCAGUGGCGAAGGCGGUCUUCUGGACUGACACUGACGCUGAGGUGCGAAAGCGUGGGUAGCAAACAGGAUUAGAUACCCCAGUAGUC
rnacentral:rRNA from 1 species